GUGAGGAAUUUUGGGCAAUGGGCGCAAGCCUGACCCAGCGACGCCGCGUGGGUGAUGAAGGCCUUCGGGUCGUAAAACCCUGUGAGUUGGGAAGAAGCGAAGGAGUGCCAAUACCACUCUUAGUGACUGUACCAGCAGAGGAAGCCCCGGCCAACUACGUGCCAGCAGCCGCGGUAAUACGUAGGGGGCAAGCGUUGUUCGGAAUUACUGGGCGUAAAGCGCGUGUAGGCGGUCCGAUAAGUCGGAAGUGAAAGCCCUCGGCUCAACCGGGGAACUGCUUUCGAUACUGUCAGACUUGAGUGCGGGAGGGGAGAGCAGAAUUCCCGGUGUAGCGGUGAAAUGCGUAGAUAUCGGGAGGAAUACCGGUGGCGAAGGCGGCUCUCUGGACCGUAACUGACGCUGAGACGCGAAAGCGUGGGUAGCAAACAGGAUUAGAAACCCGAGUAGUCC
rnacentral:rRNA from 1 species